CGAUCAAACAUGCAUAACUAACACGGGAACGCGCAGUGUUUCGAUAUGAUAAAUUUUACUUUGAGGCAAUGUUAUCCAUAUGUAACUUUCUUCUACAAAAGGCCUUUUGGCUGUAGUUAUUCGACAGGAAACUAGGAACGAAUCGCCAAUAUUUAAACAAAUAAAAGUAAUUGCCAAGAAAACUGCAUGGGCUGAAAAAAAAAACUUCGGUCAUUCAUUCGUCGGGAUGAUUGGAAACUGUCAAAACGUUUUGAAACUGCGUCAUCCGGUACCUUCGGCGGGAUGCAAGUGAUCUCAUGCAGUGAAUCGGUUUUAUCACGAAAAUAACGCGAAGCAUUUAAUUUUAGUGUUGUGCAGUGAUUACGAUAUAUUGCGUCUGAGCAAGGAUGACAUAGGGAGGCUGAGAUGGACGGGACGGCGCUCCUCCAUCCUUCACGAAAGCGCCAAAGGAACAAGACCAACUGGUCCUUGUCUCCAACGACCCGACGAGGAUUUUUAUUAACCUGCCUACGACUCUCGAGGUAACUACAGCCUAUUGACAGUGGGGUGGAUUAUCAGCAGGUGUCAGGGCCAGUAACCGGCGACUCCCAUCUUGAGUAUUUGAGCCUCCUCGCGAUGGAAUUUCAUUGAGAAAGAUGACUUCCGUAGGAUGUACAGCCAGCCAAUGCAAUCUGCAUUCCGCCUGCCACAGUCGUGUGUAGCUUCUGCCGUUACUUGUUGCACCAAGGACUUUUUCUUCUUACUUCUGAGAUCCACUUGAAGGUCCAUCUCCCAAGCACUGUCUUCCCCAGUUGCAACAGCACGUGGUGUAAGCAGCAGUGUUGACUUCACAGUAAGAAAUCCCAAGAAAAGCCAGAAGCUCAGCUGUCAUGCAUAUGAGAGAUCGACUCUAGACAUGCGAGGGUUCCAAUCGGAUUUCUGUGAGAUUUGGGAAAUAUUGCCAUUAUCUUAGGUGCGCAUUUGGGAAUGACAAGAUUGCAAACAAAUCCAUUCUUCAAUGUCCGCGUAGGAGAUAAUCAUCAUUUUCAGGUAUCGCGGCAUUUUAUCACACCUCUUUAUCUCACUUCCUGUGAUAUGAAAAUCUUCGACGCUGACGUAAGGUUGGUUAUGACGCAAAUUCUACCUGACUCUCAUUCAUGUUGGAGUAGGAGGAUAAAGAUUAAGUUUUUUUUUCACACCUUCGUGAACUAUUUUUAUGGGUGUUCUAUAGUUUUUAAGGUUAAUUCAUCUUUUUUGUCACAUUGUCCUAAUGUUUUUGGUUAAUUUACCUUCUUCCGCCCAUUUAGCGUGGAUUAAGAGGCAAAGAAUGAGUAUUAUUUUCAAGGAUCGUCCACUAUUUUUUUUUGCCAUUCAUUUAUGUAAUAGUAUAAGUAAAAUAAAUAUUAAACGAAAUGUACCCAAACUCUUAUUAACAACUUGAAAAAGAAUUACAGGGUAAGGAACA